rnacentral:rRNA from 1 species
UGGGGAAUAUUGCACAAUGGACGGAAGUCUGAUGCAGCAACGCCGCGUGCGGGAUGACGGCCUUCGGGUUGUAAACCGCUUUUUCUCAUGACGAAGUUUUUUGACGGUAGUGGGGGAAGAAGCACCGGCUAACUACGUGCCAGCAGCCGCGGUGAUACGUAGGGUGCGAGCGUUGUCCGGAAUUAUUGGGCGUAAAGAGCGUGUAGGCGGUUUGUCGCGUCGAUAGUGCAAACUCAGUGCUUAACGCUGAGCCUGCUGUUGAUACGGGCAGACUAGAUGAAGGUAUGGGAGAAUGGAAUUCCCGGUGGAGCGGUGGAAUGCGCAGAUAUCGGGGGGAUCACCGGUGGCGAAGGCGGUUCUCUGGGCCUUUCCUGACGCUGAGAAGCGAAAGCAUGGGGAGCGAACAGG